UACGUAGGGGGCAAGCGUUGUCCGGAUUUAUUGGGCGUAAAGAGCGUGUAGGCGGCCAGAUAGGUCCGUUGUGAAAACUCGAGGCUCAACCUCGAGACGCCGAUGGAAACCAUUUGGCUAGAGUCCGGAAGAGGAGAGUGGAAUUCCUGGUGUAGCGGUGAAAUGCGUAGAUAUCAGGAGGAACACCGGUGGCGAAGGCGGAUCUCUGGAUCAGUUCUGACACUGAUGAGCGAAAGCCAGGGGAGCAAACAGG
rnacentral:rRNA from 1 species